GUUCUUCCUGUGACCAGAAACAGUCACAUGAUCACGUUCACACUGCAGAACGGCGUCGUGGCCACGCUGAGAACCAACGGUACCGAACCCAAAAUCAAAUUAUACACAGAGUACUGCGCAACGCCGGGGAACAGUGAGGUGUCCCGUCUGGAGGAGGAGCUGAGGAAGGUCACCACUGCUCUGCUUGAUGACUUCCUGGAGCCUUAGAGGAACAACCUGAUUCGUGGCUGUGUCUAGCUCCGCCUCUCGUGUACCCUGUCCCUUCAGCCCACAGCUGAUUCCUGUUGAUGACAUCACAUCCUGUCUUGCUUGUAGACGAGUCGGUCCUCUUAGACCCAACUGCUGCCUCCCUGAGUCCAAACCCGACCUGAACUGUUGUGUCCUCCAUCCUCUAUCACUCAGCAGAGAGCAUGAUGGGUAAAAAGGGCAGUGCUGAGACUGAGCGUGUGCGGGAACAUAAAAGUAUUUUCAUGGAGGAGAAGAGAAGAAGAAAAAAACCCUUUUAGAGUCUUUACUUUAAGAUUUCUUCAUAAGAAAAAUUUUCAUCACUUUGUUAUUAUUGUUACAGGAACUCCCUGCUGCCUGUUUCAGGCCUCAUAGCUGUUUGUUUGUUUGUUUGUUUGUUUGAGAGGUUUUUAUCUUUCUCUCAGUUUUAACGAAUCAUCCCAAACAAAACAAGCUCCCCCACAUGCUGACCUACAGCGGGGUGUUUGAGUGAUGUUAUAGAAGUCAUCAAGUCCUUAAUUUAUAAGAACAGUCUUAAUAUGAGGAGGAGAAAGACGUAUGUCUACGAGUAUUUAGUCUACUGUUAAAGGAGUCAUCAUAUUAAGAGAGGAGUCGUGAACAUAAGAGGAAAAAGUAUUUUAUUUUGAAGGAGAAAAUCAGAGGAGCAGCUUCCUGCACUAAAAUAAGGAACGUGGAGCUUCUUGUAAAAUUAGACUUUGAGUAUGUUUCAUAAAUAACUUUCAGCUCAUCAGCUCCACACCAGGACAAACUGCUUGUUCUGAAGCAGAGCUAACAGGCAGACUGAGCACACUCCGUAACCUCUGUUCUGAAGCAGAGCUAACAGGCAGAGCUUCAUUCUGAUAAUAUGAAGACUUCAGAUAUUUAAUCCUCUGCCCUAUCAAACAAACCUUUAUUUUUAAUUUAAGAGUGACGUUAAUCAAAGUGUAAACCAAAGAAGAAGAGUGUGGAGAUGUUUGCUGUAACAAACAGAAUAUCUGAAUACUUUAUAAAAACACUUAUUUUCAUCUCUACAGUCACAAUCAUUUCAUUUACGCAGAUACCAAAAACCUUCUGUCUCUCUGAUUAAUUGUAUGCGUUCAUGUUUAAUUUUAUUUUUUUUGUGACUCUAUAAAAAUCAUAGAACAAACAUUUCAUCAACCAAAGAGAAUUAAAAGAAACGAAAUGUGCAGGUUCAAUUACAGUUUUCAGUUUUUACAGGUACUUUAGUUAUUGUUUGUUUGUUUGUUUGCUCUUUAGUGCAGUCAUCUGUUCAGUUAGUAGUUUUGUCCUGAACAAACUUCCAUAUAAAAAACAGGAAUGUCCCUUUAACCAAACAGGGAGUCAGAUGUGUGUGUUCUUUGUGUUUUGAUGUUGGGCUGAAUGUUGAGGAUGUUUAUUUUUAUACUGUUACCGUAAAAAGAUAUUUAUGUGACGUUCAGGUUGCACAGAAGCCGUGAUGUGUUCAGGGGUCACUGUAAAGUGGGUAAAACGUGUUUUAGUUGUUUGAAUGGAGAACAGAGCGGUGAACAUGAGGACUGCUGUAACUGUGGUUCCUUCGACAAUCCACCAAUAAAGUCUGAAACUUUGG